GCGCGCGGGGCAGCCUCUCCUGCCGCGCCGCGUGCGAGCGCACGCGUCAUGGGCGCAGCGGGCACAACCACAAACCCUACCCCCAAUCCACAGCCGCCACUCCCUCCCUCCUCCUCCCUCCCUCGUCUGCCGCCGCCACUCCCUCCCUGCUCGUCGCCCCUGUCUCCGCCCUAGGAGCUUCGCCGCCUCCCGCGCGCUCGAAUUGUCGCGCCACCGCGUCGUCGCCUCCUCUGCGCCAUGAGGCGCCACCUCUGCCUCCACCCUCCACCGGGCAAGGAGCUCGAGAUGAACAGGCGGUGGGAAGGUGAGAGGAAGCAGGAGCUAUCUCUCCUUCAAUGGCUGCCUUGUGCAUCUGGAGUAUAAGGAGGACAACACGUGCCUGUUGGAGGCGACUCGAGCAACGCAGGCCAGCGGCGAACUAGAUCUGACAUAGAAGACCACGUUCGUCAGAUUAGAAAGUGAUCUUCUUCCAAUGGCUUUAAUGAGAGUAUGAUAUCAUUUAGCUAGCCUCUUUUCUUUGCGGGAUAGUGUAAAGGUGGAAGGUAACUCAAAUCUGACGAGCAUGGGAGUAGUGGCCACAGCUGGGCACCAUGGGUUGGCCGAGGUGCUUCAUGGAUGUGCACUCUUGUCUCCGUCGUUAUACCUAUUUUGGAAUCCAUGGCAGCAUGUUGUGCUUUGUCGGCACAUUCGUGCAUGUGUGAGGUCGCAGAUGAAGAAGCACCGAAUGAUCAUUAUAUUCUCCUCUGCUCUGAUCUUCUAUUGACAUAUUGUUUUCAGUUGCUGUUUAGUAUAGAUGCCUCCAUGGUUGCAUAGGCAUCCAACACAUCGGCGGUUUCAAGGCUGGUCCUGGGCGGCGCCUCGUCAGCGUCGUGGAUGGCUUGGGCAGCGCCUUGGCAUUCCAGAGGGGCGAAGUGGGCCGGCCAGCAUGCGUGGGGCGCAAAGGUCACGAGCAGGAGGGAGAUGCGCUGGAGGUGAUGGAGGAGGAAGUCGGAGGUGGCAUCAGCGUCCAUGGCGACGCCACCCCGGGAACCCUCCUGCACACCUCGGCAUGGUUCGUCUGUGCCACAUGGUGGCCAAGAUGCUGGAGUGGAUCAAGAGCGGACCGUAGCAGCAGGAGCAAGGAUCUGGUGGUGGUUCAUGAUAUUGGACUGCAUUACUAAAUGUUCUAGGGUUGGAGAGAGCUUAGAGAGGGUGGAGAGGAGAAACGGCUGCGCCGGACGGUGCUCGUCAUGAUGUUCCUGUGAGUACCCUCCCCCCACCUUAGUUGUUGUUCUCCUUGUUUACCCCAUAACGGCGGCUUCGCGCGGAUCUGCGCCUCCAUCCAUCGCAGGGAGAGGAGGGCUAGAGCAGUCACUGUAGAGCAGGGAGGCGGCUGGAGUUGUCCGUUAUUGAGGAAAGAAUGGCAGCUCGGGGAGACUUGAGGCAGCGGUGGCGGGGAGUGUGUGUGUGUUCAGAACAGAUGUGUUUUCAGAACUUAUUACUUUUGAUACACUGCCCCUUUAUGUUGAGCAGAUGCGGAUCAUAUUUAGGGAGAUUAAGAUGCUCAAGACCAAGGAAUGCAGACUGAAGGCUGCCAAUGAUACCCUUCAAGAAAGGCCCUAACAGAUAAAUGGAAGCAUCUAUUGGGUGGUACUCUCACUACUUAGCAAAGAGAAUGAAGGGUCAACAUUUACGGUCAUGCUGCCCAUGCUUCGGAAAAAAGGCAAAAAUGUUUUACGGCUCAAGCAUGGGAAGUAUAGACCAAAGAAUGUGGUUUACAGUUUCCCUAUUUUGUUGGAUCAACUAAUGUGUUGCUUUGUUGCUUCAUGUGAGUGAUGUAUGUAAUCAAGAACCAGGAAAGCAUACCAGUAUAUUGCAAUUCCAAAACUUAGAAAAAUGCCCAAACCUACAUAUUUGCAAUUAACAUUUAGCGCUACA